CGAGCGAAGCGGGAAAAGCUCAAAUUUGUAAUCUGGCGUCUUCGACGUCCGAGUUGUAAUCUCGAGAAGUGUUUUCCGUGAUAGACCGCAUACAAGUCUCUUGGAACAGAGCGUCAUAGUGGUGAGAACCCAGUACACGAUGCGGAUGCCUAUUACUUUGUGAUACACUUUCGAAGAGUCGAGUUGUUUGGGAAUGCAGCUCAAAUUGGGUGGUAAAUUCCAUCUAAAGCUAAAUAUUGGCGAGAGACCGAUAGCGAACAAGUACCGUGAGGGAAAGAUGAAAAGCACUUUGGAAAGAGAGUUAACAGUACGUGAAAUUGUUGGAAGGGAAACACAUGCAGUGAUACUUGCUAUUCGGGGCAACUCGAUUGGCAGGCCCGCAUCAGUUUUUCGGGGCGGAAAAGCAUAGAGAGAAGGUAGCAGUUUCGGCUGUGUUAUAGCUCUUUAUUGGAUUCGCCCUGGGGGACUGAGGAACGCAGCGUGCUUUUAGCAUGAGCUUCGGCUUAUCCACGCUUAGG
rnacentral:rRNA from 1 species